CACGGAGUUAGCCGGAGCUUAUUCUCCCGGUACGGUCAUUAUCAUCCCGGGUAAAAGAGCUUUACAACCCUAAGGCCUUCAUCACUCACGCGGCAUUGCUGGAUCAGGCUUUCGCCCAUUGUCCAAUAUUCCCCACUGCUGCCUCCCGUAGGAGUCUGGGCCGUGUCUCAGUCCCAGUGUGGCUGAUCAUCCUCUCAGACCAGCUAAGGAUCGUCGCCUUGGUGAGCCUUUACCUCACCAACUAGCUAAUCCUACGCGGGCUCAUCCUUGGGCGAUAAAUCUUUGGUCCGAAGACAUCAUCCGGUAUUAGCUGGAAUUUCUCCCAGUUAUUCCGAACCCAAGGGCAGAUUCCCACGCGUUACGCACCCGUGCGCCACCAGACCCGAAGGUCUCGUUCGACUUGCAUGUGUUAGGCAUGCCGCCAGCGUUCGUUCUGAGCCAGGAUCAAACUCU
rnacentral:rRNA from 1 species